rnacentral:misc_RNA from 1 species
UGUUGCCAUGGUUGGUUUGGAUCAGUUUAUUACCAAGAAUGCAACAUUGACCAAUGAAAAGGAAGUCGAUGCUCACCCUAUCAGAGCAAUGAAGUUUUCUGUCUCACCAGUUGUGCGUGUAGCUGUUCAGUGCAAGGUCGCAUCUGACCUUCCCAAGCUUGUCGAAGGGUUGAAACGUCUGGCUAAGUCUGAUCCUAUGGUUGUUUGUUCUAUUGAAGAGUCUGGAGAGCAUAUUAUUGCUGGUGCUGGAGAACUCCACCUUGAGAUCUGUCUGAAGGAUUUGCAGGAUGACUUUAUGGGCGGUGCUGAAAUUAUAAAAUCUGAUCCCGUUGUGUCCUUCCGUGAGACGGUCCUCGAGAAGUCUACUCGAACUGUGAUGAGCAAGUCCCCUAACAAG